AGAAGCUGGGGUGAGGGGUACAGAAGAGGAUGGCUGCUGGGUAUGCAACCUAGAGUCAGUCAGUCACAAACAUGGCAGGAAAAUAAGCUAUCUCCCUCUUACACCCUGAUCUGGAUGUUUGUAGGAAGAAAAGGUGCAACUAAUUUAUUCCAGAAUGGAGAAGAUACACCCUCAGUGCGCCCUCAUCAGAACCCAGAAUGGUCAGAAUAGCUGCCCAAAGAGGAAGGAGACCUGGCCAGGUGCAAUUCUCAAAGGACAAAUGAAGCACUGGUCAGAUUCCACGGCAUCAGUUCACCCAAUCUUGAGAAAAUUCUAGGGGAAAAGAGUUCCAUUCAUGGUGAAUGAAAGAAGAAGCUUUCUAGAACUAAUCUGAAAGCAAAGUGUCCCUAAAGAGAAACCCACCAAAAGUCACUGCUGGAUUUUCACCCAAAGUGAGGCAGA
rnacentral:sRNA from 1 species